UGACCGCUGGCGGCGUGCCUAAUACAUGCAAGUCGAGCGAACAGACGAGGAGCUUGCUCCUCUGACGUUAGCGGCGGACGGGUGAGUAACACGUGGAUAACCUACCUAUAAGACUGGGAUAACUUCGGGAAACCGGAGCUAAUACCGGAUAAUAUAUUGAACCGCAUGGUUCAAUAGUGAAAGACGGUUUUGCUGUCACUUAUAGAUGGAUCCGCGCCGCAUUAGCUAGUUGGUAAGGUAACGGCUUACCAAGGCAACGAUGCGUAGCCGACCUGAGAGGGUGAUCGGCCACACUGGAACUGAGACACGGUCCAGACUCCUACGGGAGGCAGCAGUAGGGAAUCUUCCGCAAUGGGCGAAAGCCUGACGGAGCAACGCCGCGUGAGUGAUGAAGGUCUUCGGAUCGUAAAACUCUGUUAUUAGGGAAGAACAAAUGUGUAAGUAACUAUGCACGUCUUGACGGUACCUAAUCAGAAAGCCACGGCUAACUACGU
rnacentral:rRNA from 1 species